AAUCCCCUAACUCAAAACUUUAUAUUCCAUAUACACUAAACUUUACUAUACAUACAAUACUCUAAAUAUAAACUUCAAAACUAAAAUUUGAAAAAUUUAACUACAAAUCUUAGACCUAAUAUUCAAAUCUAAUAUUUUCAUACUCUGAUCCAAAAUCUUAAAUCAUAGUCUUGAUAUUAAUCAAAUAUUUUCAAACUUAAACAUCAAUUCUUAAAAUAAAUAUAAACUUAUUAUGUUCAAAAAAGAAAACUCUAAACUUAAAUUAUAAACUCGAAAAUACAAAAUUUUAUAUAAGAUAUAACUAAGAAAAUUUACUUAGAAAACAAAUUAUCAAAUAUUUAAGAACAAAACAAAAAUAAAAAUAGAAAAAGAAAGACAAAAUUUCUGGCCAAUCAGAUUCAAAUACAUAGAUCACACUAUUAACCAUUGGAUUAACUUAGAUCUAAAGGUAGAGAUUUAUUCAAUUUAAUUUUUAUUUUUUUCUUCUCUCUCACGACAGAUCUCAUCUCAUCUCCUUCUCUACUUUUUUUUUCCCCGAUUCUCUCUUCUCCACUCUAACCUCUCAUUCUCAUAUCUCAUAUCUCAUAUAUCUCUUCUCUCCCAUCUCUCUCAACGCCUCUCUCAUCUAACCACCACCGUGUCUCCUCCUCGUCUCACCACCACCGCGUCUCCUUCUCGUCUCAUCACCACCGCGUCUCCUCCUCGUCUCACCACCACUGUUUUCCCCCUUGUCUCACCACCACCACGGUGGAGGAGCCAAGGUUCAUGGCGGCUGGAGGAAGCAAGGUUCAUGGCGGCUUGAGUAUGCAAGUCUCGUGGCGGCUGGAGGAAUCAAAGUUCAUGGCUGCUGGAAGAGGGACAAGGAUAUGGAGGAGGCGGCAGGAGUUUUUUCUUUAGGUUUAGGUUUUUUACGUCUGGUUAAGUGUCCUAAAUUGUAGUGGUCUGAUUUUAUUUUUUAAUUUCUGGUUUAGUUUUGUAAACCAGAAUUAAUCUGUAAACCAAAUAUAAUUUAUUAAUAAAAUUUAUUUUAUUUUCAGUUACAAAA